rnacentral:rRNA from 1 species
AUUGAACGCUGGCGGCAGGCCUAACACAUGCAAGUCGAACGGUAGCACAGGAGAGCUUGCUCUCUGGGUGACGAGUGGCGGACGGGUGAGUAAUGCAUGGGGGAGCUGCCCAAUCGAGGGGGAUACCAGCUGGAAACGGCUGCUAAUACCGCAUACGCCCUGAGGGGGAAAGGUGGGGACCUUCGGGCCUACCGCGAUUGGAUGCACCCAUGUGGGAUUAGCUAGUUGGUGAGGUAACGGCUCACCAAGGCGACGAUCUCUAGCUGGUCUGAGAGGAUGACCAGCCACACUGGAACUGAGACACGGCCCAGACUCCUACGGGAGGCAGCAGUAGGGAAUUUUCGGCAAUGGGGGAACCCUGACCGAGCGAUGCCGCGUGAGUGAUGAAGGUCUUCGGACUGUAAACUCUGUUAUUAGGGAAGAAUACUAUAGGGAGGAAAUGCCUUAUAGAUGACGGUACCUAUAGAGGAAGCCCCGGACCAACGUA